rnacentral:siRNA from 1 species
AAAGUACCGUGUGAAUAGAUACUU